GCUCGCCCAGGAAGGAGGGAGGGGCCGCAGGGGAGGCUCGUCCCUCCAUCCCCGCGGGGCUACCCUCCACCCCCUUGCUGCCUUCUGUAUCCGUCUCUGGACGGCGCGUGUACCCCAAGCUCUCAAUCCCGACUGCCUAGAAUCAAGCCGGGCUUUGAUCCAGAUUCUCCAAUCCAUUUGUUCAUUGGUGUUCUCCGGCUGGUUCUCACAACCUCUCUGUGCCACAUUGCCCUCAUCCGUGAGAAGAGGAGGCUUGCGAGGAGAAAAUGAGAGAAUUCACGGAAAGCACAGUGCUCACCAGACGGGAGCUGCUGUCCUUGUGAGCCCAUUCAGGGUCCAGAAGGUUGGAGUGGAAGGGGUCAGAGAGAGGCGAGGCAGCCAGAGGAAAUAGAAACGAUGUUGACAGAAGCUGUCGCUGGAAGGGAAGCUGCCCGCAAAACCCACAUCAGGUGGUUCUACACCCUUGCCACAGGGGUCUCCUCUCGACUUGUCGUGAUGGAUCUUUUUUCCUGGAAGUUUUCACUCAGUCCCCUUCGCUCCCACCAGACCGUGAGCUCCGGGGUCGGCCCAGUGGUCCCAGCACCCAGCCUGGCGCAUAGGAGGGACGUAGUAACUGGGUGAACGGAUGGAUGGAUGGACGGAUGGAUGGACGGACGGACCUCCCUACCUUUCUUCUUCUUGUCGCCAGGAGAGAAAGGAAGGAAAUUUCAAACAACUCUGAGCCGUAGCUCAGCCUGGAGCUGCGGCAACCCCAGCCUCCCUGGCGGGGAGCAUCGACCCAUGGCGGGCGGGCGGGUGCGGCUGCUUUGUGGAGGUGGAGGGCGCUGGGGGACCUGCGCCAACCUGCUUCACGGCGUCCAGACCCCCCUCCACCUCCACCCCGCUCCCGGCAGCUCUGCAGAGCCCGGGUGUCAGCAGCCAGUGGGGGGCUGCGCAGGGAAGGGGUUGGGGGGGGUGGAGCUGUGCAGCCUCUGCAGCAGCCGGCACGGAGAGGCCCUCUUGACGCACAA
rnacentral:lncRNA from 1 species